GCAAGGGGCUCCUUCCAUCCCAGUGUGGGGCCACUGCAGGCACGAGGUCCCCCUGCCCCUGCCCCUGCUCCUGAGUGGGAGGCAGAGCUGAGGGAGUGCCUUGGAGGGCACCAAGAACCCAGGUGCCCUCACUGCCACUCAGGCCUGAAGGAGAACCUUCAGCAGGGUCAAAGGAACUGUUCUGUCCUGCCUUUCUUUGCAGAUGACCCUGAUGAUGAUCCUGAUGAUGAAGAUGAGCCUGUUGACAAAGAUGAUCCUGUGGACGAAGACUAUCCUGUGAAUGGAGACGAUCUGGAUUCCCUACGCAUACCCAUUACUGAGCCUCUGGGAGAUGCUGAGGGUGUGUCUGCAGGGAGGACUUUGGUGGAUGUUGCACGCAGGCCCAGCUCCCAUGGCAGGGGUGAGUAGCGUGUGCCUGCUGACCCCACAGGCUGAGCCUUCGUUUUGUGGGAUCCAUUCCUGGGAAACGGAAAUAUUUCUCUUAAGGUCCUCCAAGAAGGAAGAAGAAACCUAUAGGAGCUAGUACAUCCCUGGAGGAAUCCAAACAUCUGGAAAAACUCCUGAGUGGUGUGGACAGCCAGCGUGAUGCAGCCAGCACCUCAACACAUUCUGACAUCAUCUGGAAAAGCAUGAGAAGAGUUUUCUGCUGGGGAACACCUUGUUUGAUUAAGUUGAUGGCCAUUGUGGCUGGUGCGGCACUGUGCCUGAUGAUGUGCUGUGCAGCAAUCUGGUAUUGCUGGAAGAGAAAAUCGUGCUCCUGUGCAUCUUCAGAAAAUUAUCCUAAAAAUAGAGACAACGACAACUUGACAAUAUAACCCAGCUCUUCACUUCUGCCCCUAUCUGCCCUGCCGUGGCUGCACCACCAUAAUGAAGGCAUCCCCAAAUCCAUCCCUCCUCAACGAGACCCUCUGCCCCGGAGUCCCCUGGUCCUGUUCCCCGGCCAGGACUGAAGGUGGGCAGCCCUUGUCUGGCAGGGCAGGGCUUGGCCCCUAUUUUAUGUUUAAAUAAAGAAAUAGAGUUUUCACAGCUA